rnacentral:lncRNA from 1 species
UGCUCUGGAAAUUCCGAUGAAUGACCUCACCAAAUAAUGAAUCUCAACUAUCACCUAAACUCUAAACACGAAUUAUUCCUAGAACAUAGUCCAAUAGAAACCCCACUAAUGCGAAUCAAACAAUUCGAGAACCCCCAAAAAAUUAGAACAACGAUUGAGAAGAUCUACGUGAUCGAAUCUCCGAUGAGCUGCCAGUGGCCCAAAACCGAUGAACGAAGACAAAUUCAGGUGAAACCUUGACAUUUUCCGACCAAAUCUUCCUAGAAAUUAAAAGAAGCGAGGAGAUUUUACAUAUUUUUGGGAUUGGUUUGGGUGAACGACUAACUAAAGAAAAGAUUUCGGCAAAACAGUCAUUGAAAUAGUAACAAGAAGCCCAAAAUUCAUUUUCUCCCACAAUUCUCAUGCUAUUUUUGCUUCUUUUCUUGUUAUUUUUCACUAUAUCUGUCGUGUGUGUGUUUUUCCCAUAUGUAUAUGUGUUUCUCUGAUCAUUAUGUAUGUGUGCAUCAAGAAAUCACGAAGAAGAAGAAAAGAAGACAAAAAAAAUAAAAUCCCCUGUAUGCAUGUUUCUCUCAAAAGAAGAAGGUAGUCCCCUAUUUUUCGUUUUUCCUCCAGUGUAUAUAUCUAUUUUG